AGGUUGGUGGUGCAGUGGUUAGCACUUUCACCUCACAGUGAGAAGGCCCUGGUUCAAGUCCUGGCUGGUUUU
rnacentral:tRNA from 1 species